AUUGAACGCUGGCGGCAUGCUUUACACAUGCAAGUCGAACGGUAACAGGCCUUCGGGCGCUGACGAGUGGCGAACGGGUGAGUAAUGCAUCGGAACGUGCCCAGAGGUGGGGGAUAACGCGGCGAAAGCUGUGCUAAUACCGCAUAUUAUCUGAGGAUGAAAGCGGGGGACUAAGCAGCAAUGUUUGGCCUCGCGCCUUUGGAGCGGCCGAUGUCAGAUUAGGUAGUUGGUGGGGUAAAGGCCUACCAAGCCGACGAUCUGUAGCUGGUCUGAGAGGACGACCAGCCACACUGGGACUGAGACACGGCCCAGACUCCUACGGGAGGCAGCAGUGGGGAAUUUUGGACAAUGGGCGCAAGCCUGAUCCAGCAAUGCCGCGUGCAGG
rnacentral:rRNA from 1 species